GGAGGGGCUGCCCAGCCCUGGCCCAGCUGCCCAGGGCAGGGUGGAGUCCCCAUCCCUGAGGGGUUUAACAGCCCUGGGCAUGUGGCACUUGGGGACAGGGGACAGUGCUGGCUUUGAUUUUGGGUGGAAUGGUUGGAUCCCAUCUCAGAUGACUUUUCCAACCUCACCAAUUCCAUGUGGGGGCCAUGGUGAGCCCUGCCCCAGCGCUGGUGUCGGCUGGGGAAGCUCGGCUCGGCUCGGCUCAGCUCCCUGUGCCUUUGGGUUCCCUGCCCUCGGGGUGGGUGGAGCACGAAUUCCGGUGUCCGGCACCGCUCUGCACCUUCUCCCCGCGCUGCUGCUGCCCUCCAGUGCCACCAGCGCCACCAACCAGUGCCACCAGCGCCACCAGUGCCAGCAUCUCCUCGUCCCCCGCUGGCCCGGGGCUGAUUUUGGGGGCAGGGCCGGGGGUGCCCCUGCUCCCCGCAGCCCGGGGCUGUCCCCUGUCGCUGUCCCCUCGCUGUCCCCGUCGCUGUCCCCGUCGCUGUCCCGUCGCUGUCCCCUCGCUGUCCCCUCGCUGUCCCCCGUCGCUGUCCCGUCGCUGUCCCCUCGCUGUCCCGUCGCUGUCCCGUCGCUGUGCCCUGCCGCCGUGCCGGGGCCGUGCGCGCUCCGCCCGCCCCGCGCUGCGUGUCCCGCCCCGCACACGGCGGCACCGCCCCGGUGGCGGCGCUGGGGCCGCGCCGGGGCCCCGCAGCCCCGGGCCAUGAAGGUGAAGGUGAUCUCCGUGCUGGAGGACAACUACAUGUACCUGGUGAUCGAGGAGAGCACCCGGCUCGCCGUGGCCGUGGACGCCGCGGUCCCCAAGAGGCUGCUGGAGAUCAUCAGGAAGGAGGACGUGGUGCUCAAGGCCAUCCUCACCACCCACCACCACUGUCCCGUUCCCGUUCCCAUCCCGGUCCCGUUCCCAUCCC